GAUGAACGCUAGCUACAGGCCUAACACAUGCAAGUCGAGGGACCGGCGCACGGGUGAGUAACACGUAUCCAACCUGCCCUUUACUCGGGGAUAGCCUUUAGAAAGAAAGAUUAAUACCCGAUGUAAAGGAUGGGGAUGCGUUCCAUUAGGUUGUUGGUGAGGUAACGGCUCACCAAGCCUUCGAUGGAUAGGGGUUCUGAGAGGAAGGUCCCCGGCAUUGGAACUGAGACACGGUCCAAACUCCUACGGGAGGCAGCGGAGAGGAAGAUUGGGCAAUGGGCGUUAGCCUGAACCAGCCAAGUAGCGUGAAGGAUGAAGGGUUAUGGGUCGUAAACUUCUUUUAUAAAAGAAUAUGUAUUAUAUGAGUAAGGAUCGGCUAACUCCGUGCCAGCAGCCGCGGUAAUUC
rnacentral:rRNA from 1 species